ensembl:lncRNA
AGGGGCGCCCCGGGUCCCCACGUGUUAGAGCUGCCGGUGGUGCUAGUGGUGGUGAUCCCGUUUUCUCCCACCUUGUGUUUUUUUGGGUUUUUUUUUGGGGGGGGGGGGUGAAAGAAUUACUUCCAGGGCACAACAACUCGUUUCCUCAUCACCCUAACCCCCCAGAACCUCUCCCCAGCCCCUCCACAGGCUUCCAACAGCCUCACCGAGCCCGCAGGGUGAAUGUGUUUGUGCAGAUGGCCUUGUAAAAUGAAGUUUUCCUACCAGACCCUCACUCUUUAGUCUGUAUCUGAUGCAGCUGCUUUGGGCCGUUUUUCACGUGAGGAUGCUGUGAAACCAACAGAAACUGGACCAAAACAGAUGAUGGAGAAACAGAAAGAUGGAUGAGGAUGAAGCGAUUUCCCAGCACAUAUAAAGAGCACUUCUUUCAUUAUGCCGUUGUUUGUUUAUUUGGAUUACAGUGUGUGUGUGUUCAAGGGAUGGGGGAGGAGCAGACACAGAGAACGACACAGGAAAAGAGGGAAAAAACAGCCAGCUGUCGAGCAUCAGAAAAAAGAAAAAGGAGAGUGAUCCAAUACAAAGAGAGAAUACGUUAGACUGGGUUGGCUGAACUGGAGGAUGUGGAGGGAUUAAGUAUCCUUCAAAGCAGAAGGCCCGAGUAGAAAACAUCUCAAACUGCUCAUUGUGAAGGCAACAAAAAAGAAAGUGUGGAUUUUGGUUUAAAAACAGAGAAAAUGAAAAUAUCCACAGCCCUUAUUAUUUACAUGUUUUGCACAUUACGUGUUUUUUGUUAUAUCCUAAUAGUCUGUUAUCACCAUUGGUUUGCAUACACUCACUGAACAGCAUGCAGAUCCUAUCAGCUGUAUCUCUGUCAGCAGUAGAUAAUGAUUGUUUUUAAUGUGACAUGUUUAAGCAAUUAUCUGUGGAUUUAGUCAAACAAGGCAGGGUGGCUCAGUCCACACAUUUAAAUGAAAGUAACAAAGGUUUUUAGACCGCACCCAGGCCACAUGUUGCCAUGCGGCACACUGGCUUUGGGCAUGUUGAGCACACAUGUGAACAUCUAAUGAAGAGCCCGAACACAGAGCGCUGCUCCUCGCUCCUCUAUCGUUGGACACAUAGCACUGAUUGUCUCCAUCUGAUUUCCACCAGGCAGGAAGGUCUAAUGCAAAUACUUUUCUUUGCAAUGUGAACUUUGUGUGGCCGCUCUGUUUGUCAGUCUGCAGGAACGACCCGAAGAGAAGAAGCCCACAAUGAGAUCUUUCGCUCAGCCAGUGUUUGUGUUUUUACUGGCUAUGAAGCUUUGAAUUCACUUCCAACCUUUAUUCAUUAUUCAUUUCUUAAGUGUUUCAUUGAAUGUUGUAUAAUUUGUUUUAGCCGAUGUUUGGGUGGCACUGGCAAUUGUAUUUGGCUUUGAGCUGUCAAGUCCACUGAAUGAGUAUUAACGUAUAUACAAUGCAUUCCGAUGCUUUCAUUAAAUGCUUUCAGAUUGUCAGCUAACAACUGGAAAGGUAAGGUGUCGUUUUUCUUCUGUCCGGCUGCAGAAAAUAAAUGAACACCUUAUGUCAGGGGGGAAAUGACGUAUGUUCUCACUUCCUCAUUUAGCAAGAGCUGUGUCAAGUUAAAAUGAGUUCCCAUCCCAGUUUGGACUCAAACUUUACACUUUAUCCACACAAGAGUACUCACGUGAUGCUCCGAGGAUUACAAGACUGUCUCAAAAGUGUCUUUUUAAUUUCCUACUUAUUUACUGUUCAGAAUUUUGCUGCAAUGUUUACGUAGUAUCUCUUUCCUGUACGAUUAUUAUUCCGUUAUUUUAACUGAAAGCUUCAAUUAGCUUCUCACUAUGAGCAAUGGAGAACUAAUACAAUGUUUUCAGUCAGAACGGUUACAACAGUUCUAGUUAUUUCAAUUUUGAGAUUUCUCUAUUUGUGUUUGUGUUUGUACCAAUCAGAAUUUAGCAAUAUUUGAAUAAAACAUUUGCAGCUGUGGGGUUGUUUGCUUAUAUUAGCCUGGCUCGCCCACAGCUCAGAUUGUUCAGUGGAGGAGAACAACAACAAGUUAAUAACAUGAACACAAUGUCCGGCGAUAUGAAGAAAGUGAAACAAAAAGGCCAAUCAGUCAGGUCAUCAGGUUAUGCUCAUGUUGUCAAUCAAAUGUGGUCAAACCACACCCACACAAUCAAGUUUUGGAGUGCUAAAGUGCUAAUAAAUAACACAUGUUUCUACAUAAGAUGAAACCAUUGACUACUUUUUUUGUUAAUGUUUAAUUUGUUUUGAUCUGAUCAUAUUUGGUUGUCAACUUUUUUUUUACUUACAGUCAUUGACUUUCAAUGAUUUCAUUUAUUUUAUGGACA